AGAGUUUGAUCCUGGCUCAGAACGAACGCUGGCGGCAUGCCUAACACAUGCAAGUCGAACGAGACCUUCGGGUCUAGUGGCGCACGGGUGCGUAACGCGUGGGAACCUGCCUUUAGGUUCGGAAUAACUCAGAGAAAUUUGAGCUAAUACCGGAUAAUGUCUUCGGACCAAAGAUUUAUCGCCUUUAGAUGGGCCCGCGUAAGAUUAGCUAGUUGGUGGGGUAAAGGCCUACCAAGGCGACGAUCUUUAGCUGGUCUGAGAGGGUGAUCAGCCACACUGGGACUGAGACACGGCCCAGACUCCUACGGGAGGCAGCAGUGGGGAAUAUUGGACAAUGGGCGAAAGCCUGAUCCAGCGAUGCCGCGUGAGUGAUGAAGGCCCUAGGGUUGUAAAGCUCUUUUACCAGGGAUGAUAAUGACAGUACCUGGAGAAUAAGCUCCGGCUAACUCCGUG
rnacentral:rRNA from 1 species